GUAGGGAAUAUUGGACAAUGGGCGAAAGCUUGAUCCAGCCAUGCCGCGUGGACGAUGAAGGCCUUCGGGUUGUAAAGUCCUUUUAUAGGGGAAGAAUAGCCAGGGGAGGAAAUGCCCUUGGUCUGACGGUACCCUAUGAAUAAGCAACGGCUAACUCCGUGCCAGCAGCCGCGGUAAGACGGAGGUUGCAAGCGUUGUUCGGAUUUACUGGGCGUAAAGGGAGCGCAGGCGGCUUGGACAGUCUAAAGUGAAAUCCCGGGGCUCAACCCCGGAAGUGCUUUGGAUACUUCCAGGCUUGAGUACGUGAGAGGUGAGCGGAAUUCCAGGUGUAGCGGUGAAAUGCGUAGAUAUCUGGAGGAACACCGGUGGCGAAAGCGGCUCACUGGCACGAGACUGACGCUGAGGCUCGAAAGCGUGGGGAGCGAACGGG
rnacentral:rRNA from 1 species